rnacentral:rRNA from 1 species
CCUACGGGAGGCUGCAGUGGGGAAUAUUGGACAAUGGGGGCAACCCUGAUCCAGCCAUGCCGCGUGUGUGAAGAAGGCCCUCGGGUUGUAAAGCACUUUCAGUGAGGAAGAACGCCUGGUGGUUAAUACCCAUCAGGAAAGACAUCACUCACAGAAGAAGCACCGGCUAACUCCGUGCCAGCAGCCGCGGUAAUACGGAGGGUGCGAGCGUUAAUCGGAAUUACUGGGCGUAAAGCGCGCGUAGGUGGCUUGAUAAGCCGGUUGUGAAAGCCCGGGGCUCAACCUGGGAACGGCAUCCGGAACUGUCAAGCUAGAGUGCAGGAGAGGAAGGUAGAAUUCCCGGUGUAGCGGUGAAAUGCGUAGAGAUCGGGAGGAAUACCAGUGGCGAAGGCGGCCUUCUGGACUGACACUGACACUGAGGUGCGAAAGCGUGGGUAGCAAACAGGAUUAGAUACCCUAGUAGUC